CUAUUAUGGAGAGUUUGAUCCUGGCUCAGGACGAACGCUGGCGGCGUGCCUAAUACAUGCAAGUCGAG
rnacentral:rRNA from 1 species